GUCUACAGCCAUACCACCCUGAACGCGCCCGAUCUCAUCUUAGGAAGCUAAGCAGGGUUGGGCCUGAUUAGUACUUGGAUGGGAGACAGUGCACAGCUGCUGAAACA
ensembl:rRNA 5S_rRNA 5S ribosomal RNA